AGCGGCGGACGGGUGAGUAACGCGUGGAUAACCUACCUCAUACAGGGGGAUAACAGUUGGAAACGACUGUUAAUACCGCAUAAGCGCACGGGACCACAUGGUUCUGUGUGAAAAACUCCGGUGGUAUGAGAUGGGUCCGCGUCUGAUUAGCUAGUUGGCAGGGUAACGGCCUACCAAGGCGACGAUCAGUAGCCGGCCUGAGAGGGUGUACGGCCACAUUGGGACUGAGACACGGCCCAAACUCCUACGGAAGGCAGCAG
rnacentral:rRNA from 1 species